rnacentral:rRNA from 1 species
GACGAACGCUGGCGGCGUGCUUAACACAUGCAAGUCGAACGAAGUGGCGAACGGGUGAGUAACGCGUAAUCAACCUGCCCUUCAGAGGGGGACAACAGUUGGAAACGACUGCUAAUACCGCAUACUGAAGGAGGGGAUUGCGUCUGAUUAGCUAGUUGGAGGGGUAACGGCCCACCAAGGCGAUGAUCAGUAGACGGUGUGGGAGGAUGAACGGCAACAUUGGGACUGGAACACGGCCCAGACUCCCAAGAGAAGCAGCAGUGGGGAAUCUUGCGCAAUGGACGAAAGUCUGACGGAGCAACGCCGCGUGAGUGAUGACGGCCUUCGGGUUGUAAAGCUCUGUUAAUCGGGACGCGGUACCGGAAUAGAAAGCCACGGCUAACUACGUGCCAGCAGCCGCGGUAGUAC